AUCCUAUACAGAUGUAUCAACGCUAGUCAAUUGGGCAUCUCCCUGUAGGAUUAAGUUUAUUUAUCAGAAGCUCUGGUAACAAUUUUCAUUGCGUGGCUACGGUCGAAAUGAGAUGAGUCAGAGUGGAAUAGGUUAUCCGUAAGACCUUGAGUUGGAAAACUCUAAAUUGGAGCUAGAGAUAUGGAUUUCUUAAAUUUUGCAUUUUCUGGUUACGGAGGC
rnacentral:ncRNA from 1 species